rnacentral:rRNA from 1 species
UACGUGGGGUGCGAGCGUUGUCCGGAAUUAUUGGGCGUAAAGAGCUCGUAGGCGGUGUGUCACGUCGUUCGUGAAAACCUGCAGCUUAACUGUGGGCGUGCGGUCGAUACGGGCAUCACUGGAGUUCGGCAGGGGAGACUGGAAUUCCUGGUGUAGCGGUGAAAUGCGCAGAUAUCAGGAGGAACACCGGUGGCGAAGGCGGGUCUCUGGGCCGAUACUGACGCUGAGGAGCGAAAGCGUGGGGAGCGAACAGG